AUGGCCGCCGUCCAAACGGACAAGAUAAUGGACUACUACCCAACCUCCAGCGCUGCUGACGACAAGGUACUCGUCGACUUCAUCUUGCAAGACAUGGAGAAGUUGGGCCAUCGGAUGCUAUCCAUGCUACAUUCCCUGAAAACAUCCAACGGCCACCGAUACGCUUCCUCCGUCUGCUCCAACCAGGCCAGGGAGCUCUGUUGCACAACGUCCAGGUUAGACAGGGUCAUCUCCAAGGAAUUCCCCAUUGAUCAGCACGACCAUGAGCGCAACCCGCGGCUUGUGGAGGAGGAGGAGGAGGAGGAGGAGAAUCUUUCCACGGGAUUUCUAAAUAUUUUCAACAAGUACUAUGAGUUUCCUGAACAUUACGAGAAGGAGCUGGCGCGGCUGGUUGUUGCAGAAGAAGAGGAUGCGCAUGAGGAGGAUCCCAAGGAGGUUGGGAUGACGUUCGCCGAGCUCGUGAAGAAGGAGGAGGAGGAGCAGGCGCACCUGGAUAAAUCCUCAAUGGAGUACCUCAAAAAGAGGAUGGAAUCCGAGCGGAUAGACUUGGCCUAUGAACGCAGAUUCUGGGAAAAUUCAUGGGGCAGCAAGGAUGGAAGGUGCGGUGGCUUCGGAGAUGCAACCACAUUGAGUCCUAUGUACUUUACACACUACACACCCGGUGUCAUCCCAUCCCCAGCUGCCGUCGCCGCUACCACCUUGCAGGUCUACUCCAUCAAAAUAACGGUUCCGAAAGACUUCAACUGGCCAGUCAGAGUGUACGGCACGGUCGCUGCUCGAGACACCGUGGAUCGCAACCGCAACAUUCUCUUCUCUCGAUCAAGGUCUAAGUACCAAGAACUCACCCAAGAAGAUUGUUCUUUAUGCUUGACUGGUCCGUCUCGUGCGAUUGUUGCUAUGGACCCUGUUGACUUUGAAGUUGCACUCACAGUUGAGGGGGUGGACAAAUAUAGCGUGUCGAUCACCCUUGACCACCGCGUUGAAGAUGGUACCACUUUCUCGCUCUCCAGUGACCGUUGUGUCGCAGAGUUCAACAUCCAGCAGCUCGAUAGAUCGCUCCAGGCUACUAUCUUGGGUGUACGCGUGACAAAAGGACGGUGGCCUUUCAAAUGUGGAUGCCGAGUUGUCUGCUCCUGGUCUCCCUUGGCUGCAACAGAGGAUAUUCGUACCACUUAUAGGCAAGUUGUGUUGCUUGACCACUGUGGUAAAGGAAUGCCUAUAGGAUCAGAUGACUACCUUCAUCUCUCGAGGAAAGUGAUUUCAGUGGAAUCACAUGGAACGCUGAGAGUGGCCAUCGAAGCAUAUGGUAAGUCUCGUCACGGGAUUGCUCGAAAGGUUCACAUUGACUUCGAUGUUCAACACUGCCAAAUAAGCAUGCGUGAGUGUUCAGUUGGGGAUGCCACAGUGGAGGUUGCCGUAGCCUGGUCCUUGCUUGUCAAUGAAAAGGCGGACCUCUUCCUCAGUUGA
rnacentral:rRNA from 1 species